AAGCCUGAAUGUAUGAUCCUGGCUCAAAGUAAACGCAGUAUCUAGACCUAACACAUGUUGGUGAAGAGAUUAGAAAAUCAAUUUGCGGAGAGGUGAGUAAGGAAAAGUUUACCCUUUAAAAGAAAAAAUAAAAGGAUAAUUUUUCUUGAAGAUUAGAUAGAAGAGAUAUCUCUUGUCAACGAUCUUUAGCAUAACGCCACAAUAACUCAAAAAUUGAGAGUUAUCCCAUGGCAGCAGUGAGGAAUAUUAGGCAAUCGGUGAAAACUGGACCUAGUCUAGAUAAGGAAAAUGAAAAUUAACCCAAAUUUAAAAAUUAAAAUGAAAUUUUAAAUUUGUUAUUCUGGCGAAAUCUGUGCCAGCAGCCGCGGUAACACAGAUAGAAUAGCGUUACUAUUAAAUAAAUAGGCAUGAAGCGUAUUUAGAUGGUUAAAAAACUAGAGUAAUAAAGAAGUGAUAGGAAUAAUUGGUGUAAAGAUGAAAUGUGUAAAUAUCAAUAGGAACAACAAAGGCGACAGCAUAUUACUAUUUAUUACUGACAUUUAUAUACUAAAGUAUGGGCAGUAACGAGGAUUAGAGACCCUUUUAAUCCAUACCCUAAAUACUGAAUGAAAAGAAAAUUAUAAAUAUCAUUCCGCCUGGAUAGUAGGAUGGCAACAUUGAAACCCAAUGGAAUAGACGGGUCUUGAGAUAAGCCGUGAAGCAUGUGGUUUAAUUGGAUGACCCCCCAUAAAUCUUACCUUUUCUUUUAAAUGGUGUUGCAUGGCUGUUGAUUAGCUUUUGAAGUAAUUUUUAAAAAGCAAUUCACCUUAUAUAAGGUUUUACUUCAAGUACGCAUGGCCCAAUGAAAAGGGCUACACACAUGCCACAAUUUCUAAUCCAAAAAUAAAAUUAGAAUUAGUACUGAUUUUUAACUGAAACUCGUUAAAAUGAAGCUGGAAUGGCUAGUAAUCGUGUAAUAGCAAGAUACGGUGAAUAAUUAAAUCAAGAUUGUACUAACCGCCCGUCAAGGCAAUCUAGAUAUAUAAAGAAUCAAAAAAAAUAAAAAAUUCUCAGUUAUAAAGCCCGUCUACGGACUGGAUAACUAACGUUAAUAGCGUUAAUUCUUUGAAAAUUUUAUUUUGUUCUCAUGUAUAUCAAGAAUGUUUAAGUCGUAACAAGGUCACCGUACUGGAAGGUGUGGUGUAAACAUAAUAUAA
rnacentral:rRNA from 1 species